GACGAACGCUGGCGGCGUGCUUAACACAUGCAAGUCGAACGGAAAGGCCCUGCUUGCAGGGUACUCGAGUGGCGAACGGGUGAGUAACACGUGGGUGAUCUGCCCUUCACUUCGGGAUAAGCCUGGGAAACUGGGUCUAAUACCGGAUAGGAGCCAUUUUUAGUGUGAUGGUUGGAAAGUUUUUUCGGUAUAGGAUGAGCUCGCGGCCUAUCAGCUUGUUGGUGGGGUAAUGGCCUACCAAGGCGGCGACGGGUAGCCGGCCUGAGAGGGUGGACGGCCACAUUGGGACUGUGAUACGGCCCAGACACCUACGGGAGGAAGCAGUGGGGAAUCUUGCACAAUGGGCGUAAGCCUGAUGGAGCGAAGCCGCGUGGGGGAGGACAGCCUUUUGGUGGUAAACACCAUUCGCUAUUAACGAAGCUUUUUGUGACGGUACCUAGAGAAGAAGCACCGGCUAACUACGUG
rnacentral:rRNA from 1 species